rnacentral:rRNA from 1 species
UCCCCUCAGUGGCAAACGGGCGAGUAAUACAUAUUUAACCUACGUGUGCGAGGAGGAUAGCAUCCCGAAAGGGGUAUUAAUACUCCAUAGGUUUAUGGAAUAAUAUAUUAAAGGGCGCUCCCGAAAGGGGGCGUUGCGCACAAAUGGGAAUAUGUCCUAUUAGGUAGUUGGCGGGGUAAAUGCCCACCAAGCCUAUGAUGGGUAGCUGGGCUGAGAGGUUGUACAGCCGCAAUGGGAUUGAGAUAUGGCCCAUAUUCCUACGGGAAGCAGCAGUGAGGAAUUUUUCACAAUGGACGAAAGUCUGAUGGAGCAAUACCACGUGAACGAUGAAUGUCUUCUGAUUGUAAAGUUCUUUUAUUUAGGAUAAAAAGCAUGAUAGGAAAUGAUUGUGCCUUGAUAGUACUAAAUGAAUAAGUGACAGCUAACUAUGUGCCAGCAGCUGCGGUAACACAUAGGUCACAAGCAUUAUCCGGAUUUAUUGGGCGUAAAGGAAGCGUAGGCGGACAGUCUGAUCCAGUGUUAAAUGCAUCUGCUCAACAGAUGUAUGCAUUGGAGAUCACCUGUCUAGAAUUAGUUAGGGGGUACUGGAAUUCAAUGUGGAGCGGUGGAAUGCGUAGAUAUAUUGAGGAACACCAGAGGCUAAGGCGAGUACCUGGAACAUAAUUGACGCUGAGGCUUGAAAGCGUGGGGAGCAAAUGGGAUUAGAUACCCCAGUAGUCCACGCCGUAAACGAUGGGUAUUAGGUAUCUGGGGAUAUCCUGGGUGCUGUAGCUAACGCGUUAAAUACCCCGCCUGG